GCAGCGGCCGCCCCUGCCCCGGCACCGCCCUGCCCCGCGCCUCCUCUCGGUGCUGCACAACGGGGACGGGCGCAGCUCUCUCCUGCCCUCUUCCCUUUGCUCUCCCUCUCCUUUCUGUCGCCCCCUUCACCUGCUGUCCCGGAGCCUGCAGCGCGACCCGCCGCGGGCAUCGCCGGCGCGAAGCCUACGGUCAGUCCUGCCUGGCAGGAAGGGACAUGUGCCCCCCGGCCCGGGUUGCUUGUUAACAGAAGUACUGAAAAAUGAGGUGAAUUUAGUUCAUCUGUAGAAGCUCGUGGUGGAGACCUGUCGCUCUAGCUUGGGGCAGCACAGAAGGAGCCAUCAGGUGUGUGUGACAACAGCUGCGUGCAUAUACUGUAUAUUGCGGACUAAACAGUCCCUGACAAACAGCCCACAAGUCGGGGAACAGAGCCCAGACCCAGAGCUCUGUUCGGGGUCGCCGUAGCGAGUUUGAAAUGGCUUGGACAGCACGGGAAAUGCCGAGGGUCGCUGCCGGGUCCCUUGGAGCGAGAGCCCGGGGUAGAAGCAGGAGCCCUGGCCCCUACCCCUGACAAGUGCGGAUCUGGUGGUUGAGCCAUUCGUCUGCCUUGGCAGGGCACGGAUCCAGGCUUAGAAAGGAUGCAUCUGCUUCUCAGGGCCCUAUCCGCAUGGCCAAAGUCUUCUUUAUACCCUUUCAAACUGUGUUGGUAUAGUUUCCCUCAGCUUUUUCUUUCAAAGUUUCCAGUGAGGAAGUUCCUAUGUCAUGAAUUUAAGCAUGCUCUGAAAGUAAAUUUGCUUUUGCUAGCUCUUUUUUCAGGCUCAUCUGUCUAUGGGUUGAGAAGCACCAUCCUCUUAACAAUAAAAAGAUGGGUACUAUAGCUUCUUUAAAAAUCGCUUCGUUGUCAUGUAGUCAGCACUUUUAAUCUGUGCUGUGGUCUAGAUUGAGACUCCACAGACAAAAUGUGCAUGCUGGAAGCAUUGAUGCUGAUGAUUCCUUCAGGUUUCUGGGAGUUAGGAGGUUUUAUGGGGUGCUAUUCAGCUAGAGAACACAAGAAGUGCUGUGAGAGGGCAUAUUGAAUAUCCAACCCAAUGGACCAGGCAAGAAUUGAAGAGUAAAGCAAGUGCAUGGUAAUACUUCCCUGGUUCACCUUCCCAGCCUCAAGUGUGCUGCAACUCAGGAAUUUCUGAAGUCAGCUGUGUUGAUAAAUGUGGGUGCCUGUGCUUUGUCAGUUUAAAGAACAUGUGGCAUUUAGUGUCCUAUUUGGGAAAUGUGAAACAGCACUGUAGCUGUUACGUGAACUGUGCAGCAAAUACAAAGUCACUGCAGAGACAUGUCAUCAGCUAAUGAGCUGGGACUAACAGCAGCUGGGGAAACAGAGAGGCUGCAGUUUGUCUUUCUUCUAGCAAGGAGGAUAAAAGAAACAGGGAAAAAGGUUCAUAUGAAACCAGGAAAUAAGAGGCAGGUAGCACCUACCAGGUACUCAGUAGUCAUCUCUUGUUCUUCUAUUGUAAGGCUCCAGGAGCACCAGAAUUAUAUAAAAAAAGAAAGAAACUCUUGGAGAAGAGCUUUUUCAAGAGGAAAGGAAUAUACUGGAGAUCCAACCAAAGUGGCAACCGAUGAUGUGGUUCUAUCACAAUUACUUUAAAUUAUUUCGGACCAAGCUCAAAUUUAGAACCCACAGGUUCUAAAUUCUUGGGUUUUCCCUGUUUUGGUAUUAGUGUUUGUAAAGGAUGGAGUUGUCUAAAAAUUUAUGAGGGGAAAAAGAAGUUUUCCUUGAUAGGCAGAUGUCCUGAAAACACUGUUCUUGCUUUAGUUAGUCAUGUGUCCCCAAGAGCACUACCAUUGUCCACUACAAUGUGGUAACAAGGAUGUGUGGCUAAGACUGUGGAACUGUUUCUUUCAGUGGAAGUUCAUGCCUAGACUGGAAAGAUCAAAAUGGUGUAACAUCUUUCACUAUAUUUUGAUCACCUUAUUUGUUUCUCUGAGGUCAUAUCAAUAGAGCUUCCAUCAAUCUGAGGGCUCAAAAGUUCAGGAAUGCAAUCUUAUCACUUUUGUAUGAAACAAGAGUGGAACACAUUGGCAUUUUGUGGCUCCUUUCUGGCAAAAAGACAAGCUGAAAGUCAAACAUAUUUUCUUUAAAAGCUCAGUAUCACCUAUAUUUUCUUAUAUUACACUGAUUGAUAUGUGACCAAGAAGAGACGUUGCAUGGAAACUAACACAGGCAAGUAGGGAUCUUGUAUCUAAUGAAGAUUCCUAAAGUUCUGAAUUUUAGUGUCCUGCAGAUUCUUACUAAACUGGUUUAAAUCACUAAACUCCUGUCCAAAUCAUAAAGAGUGCCUGGACAAAAAUAGGGAUGUUUAUAUGUUAAGUAACUUCGCUUCUUUUUAUUGGUAAUAAUCUCUUCCUUGUACUUGAAUGUUUUUUUUUACAGUAAAUUUGGUGUCUAAUUAAGGCUGUGACUGUUUUGGUAGAGACAGCACAUUGCAGUUUCCCAAAUUCUAAUAAGAUUUUUUUUGACUGAAUAAUAAGUGACAUUUUUUAAAGGAAAUACUUCUAAUAGAUUUUUAUGCAGCAUUUUUUGUGUGACUUCUGGGUCUUGUUUACAGUGUCUUUAAUGCCCUUCCCUAUACAUUUACUUUUUCAUUGAUUUGACAAUUUUCUAUUCAAAUACUUAUGCUAGUUUAUUAAAUAUUGUGGUUAUAAGCUCUGUGAAAUCGUCAGCUCACUCUGUUAAUUGCUGUGUAAUGGUGUGCAAUCAUUUUCUCCUGCUGUUAUGUUGCUGGGUAGGCCUGUCCCAGGUUAGACUAUAAUUGUCCACCUCACAGUGGAAAUGCAUUAAACUUGCAGCUCCUAUUACUGCAUUCUGUACCUAUCUUAAGGUGACACUUUAAACAUUAAGCACAUUUCCAACGAUGGAAGUGUAAACCCCUUUCUUUUUGCUGGGCGAUAUUAGAAUUUCAGUUUCUUGCUGCAGUCCUCCAUUACCUGUAGGUAUGCUCUUCAAAACUCCAGCUUAGAUUAUGCUUUUCCCCCAUCAGCAUGGUCUUCAAAACUAACCAUUUUUUAAGGUAAUUAAAGUAUGAGAGAGUCCAUCAGCAAGAUGAAAUUUCUUCUAUAUAGAGUAAAAAGAGUAUCAACUUCUUCCUUCAGAAAGAUGUGAAAACUUAAUUUCUUCAACUCUGCUUUUAGUUAUCUCCAUUCCAACACACUCAUAGGUAGCUAAACAAAGAAAUUAGAAAUCACAUCACUCUAGAGACAGAUGUGCUUUUAACUUUGAGAAUAAUGUGAAAGGUUUGAUUUUUGACUUUGAUUUUUGAGCAUGCCAAAUAAAAAGGUAUCUCUUCAUGAUGAACAGAGCUUAUGGGUAAUCUGCUAUUAAGAAUUACUGUUGUAAGAACUCAUUUCUGUCUUGCCAUUACAGCAAGUAGUUUUCAGUACAGUGUGGACAGCUCUCAGUUCAUGUUCAUCAGUAAGCCUUUAUUGCAGUAAGAAUAUAUCUCUUCAUCGCUUUAUGCUCUGAGGCAUUUCUCUUCAUUUCUUGUAAAUGAGCAAAUAAACCAUCUAACUCCCUUCUCUUAAUAUCCAUAAUCUGAGGGGCUUUUAUUUCUGGCUUCCUAAACAGCAGACACAGUAGGCUUUCUGUGCCUGAUUUCUGUGGGUGGCCAGGAACGUGACAGAUAGACAACUUUUAAAUUGAACUGCAAUAUAGUAAAUAGCCAAGAUUGGGGUAAUGGGAUUUCCCAGCUACUGCCAUAAAUUAAAACAGAUUUGCAGCAAUAGGUUUUGCUAUCCUAAAGAUUAUAGACAAUUGAAUUUUUUCACAUUUUGUUAUGCUUUGAUAAUAAAAUGAAAAUGUACUGCAAAGUAAACUCUAAAAAGCACAAUUGGUGGCAUUUUCCAUAUUUCUUACCUCUUUAUCUUCUGUUAAGUACUUCCAGACUAUUAAAGAGUUGGUGGUUUUUUUCUUGUUGGUUUGGUUUUUGUUUUUUUUUAAUAUCUGUGUCCAUUUCUAGUCCUUAUGCUGAUCUGAUAAAUUUGUAAAUAAACACUAGACAUGACAUAUCUGCAUUCUCUAUGCAUAGCAUAACAGACAGUGUCAUGAUCAAAUGUUUCCUGCUCUCAGUGGUUUUUAAGUUAUUAAAUUUCUCAAAUGUUAUUAGUUCUUUCAUAUACUUUCCCUAGUAGCAGUGAUUAACUAACAUAUAAAUACCAGAGCAAAAUCACUGCAAAAUGACCUAUGAUCCCAUCAUCCUGUUUUCCACUCUACAGAUUUUCUGUUCUGUCUCCAUGGGAUGUUAUUUGAAUGCAUUUCUGAAGUGUAUUAAACAGUAAGACUGA